GUAGGGAAUAUUGGUCAAUGGACGAAAGUCUGAACCAGCCAUUCCGCGUGCAGGAAGAAGAUUCUAUGGAUUGUAAACUGCUUUUAGCAGAGAAGAAACGCCUUCAUUGAUGAGGGUUUGACGGUAUCUGCGGAAUAAGCACCGGCUAACUCCGUGCCAGCAGCCGCGGUAAUACGGGGGGUGCAAGCGUUAUCCGGAAUCACUGGGUUUAAAGGGUGCGUAGGCGGGAAAUUAAGUCAGUGGUGAAAGUCUGUUGCUUAACGAUAGAAUUGCCGUGGAUACUGAUUUUCUUGAAUUGGGUUGAGGUUAGCGUAAUGUGACAUGUAGCGGUGAAAUGCAUAGAUAUGUCAUGGAACACCAAUUGCGAAGGCAGCUAGCUGGGCCUUGAUUGACGCUGAGGCACGAAAGCGUGGGUAGCGAACAGGAUUAGAAACCCCAGUAGUCC
rnacentral:rRNA from 1 species